UAUUUGUUAUAUAACUGACGGAAAAAGUGGAUAACCACAUGGAGUAUAACCUUGAUAUUAAGCCGACCGUCUGGGCAAUUUAU
rnacentral:ncRNA from 2 species